rnacentral:rRNA from 1 species
UACAGAGGGGGCAAGCGUUGUUCGGAAUUACUGGGCGUAAAGGGCGCGUAGGCGGCCUGCUAAGUCGAACGUGAAAUCCCCGGGCUCAACCCGGGAACUGCGUCCGAUACUGGCGGGCUUGAAUCCGGGAGAGGGAUGCGGAAUUCCAGGUGUAGCGGUGAAAUGCGUAGAUAUCUGGAGGAACACCGGUGGCGAAGGCGGCAUCCUGGACCGGCAUUGACGCUGAGGCGCGAAAGCCAGGGGAGCAAACGGG